rnacentral:rRNA from 1 species
UACGGAGGAUUCAAGCGUUAUCCGGAUUUAUUGGGUUUAAAGGGUGCGUAGGCGGUUUGAUAAGUUAGAGGUGAAAUGUCGGGGCUCAACCCCGAAACUGCCUCUAAUACUGUUGGACUAGAGAAUAGUUGCGGUAGGCGGAAUGUAUGGUGUAGCGGUGAAAUGCAUAGAUAUCACGCAGAACUCCGAUUGCGAAGGCAGCUUACCGGCGCUCAACUGACGCUGAGGCACGAAAGUGCGGGUAUCGAACAGG